ensembl:lncRNA
CUGGCCAUCUUACAUGGAGUGAGUCUGCCAAGAACAAGGCUAAGAAGCAAAUGAUGUCAUGAAAUGCAGAAAUAGAAUACUGACAAUAUUGUUUUUAAAACCUUGGAUUUUCAAUUAUGAUUACACAGAGUGUCUGUGGUGCUACUGGUUAAAGACACAGGUGAUACCAACUGCAAAGCCCAACUUCUCACUUAAAGGAACUGCUUUAUGGCCUCCUUACUUCACUUCAGGAUUGGUCUGCAAAGUGUUGCCUGAGCUGAAGACUGGAUUGCAAACAACCCUUCAGACAAGGGGAAGUAAACACAGGAUCCCCAAAUGAUUCUUGUAAAGCAACCCCACCACCACCACCACCACCACUUGGUUUAGUGUGAG